UUCAUUCGUCUCCCCCACACCCCCAAAUUUCAUUGGUCCCGCCCCGAGGAAAAAAAACCUAACCCCAAAAAUUUUCGCCUGCCCUUAAAUCUCCGCUUCAUCUUCUUCAACUUCAGACAUCGCGUUCUGCCUCUAUCGAUCAGAUAUCAAAGCAAGCUUUUACCAUUUACCGAUGGUGUCGAGUUACUGGAUGGUCGCCCUCCCCAUCCAGAGCUCCGCCGCCUCCCUAUGGAGUCGCCUUCAGGACUCAGUCUCCAAGCAAGCUUUCGAUACUCCUCUCAAUCGAUUCAACAUCCCCGAUCUCCGCGUCGGAACCUUAGAUUCCCUUCUUACCCUCAGUGAUGAUCUGCACAAGUCGAAUGCUUUUAUAGAGGGAGUUUCGCACAAGAUCUGGCGACAGAUUGAGGAGCUCGAGAGGGCUUCGGGCAUCGAUGUCGGGGCUACGACAGUUAAUGGAGUCCCUGUUGAUUCCUAUCUUACAAGAUUUGUCUGGGACGAAGUGAAGUACCCGACAAUGUCGCCGCUUCGGGAGAUUGUUGAAGGAAUUCAUGUCCGAGUGCCAAAAUUGAGGAUGACAUGAAGUUUGACAAUAUUAGGUAGUAUAAUCAAAACAACUUAGAAUUUAAAUAAAGGUGUCUGCUUUCCCUCCUCAUUCUCCAAAAUUAAAGAUCGAGAUUAACAAAUGGUGGAACCCUCGAAAAAGCGAUGGAUUCCUCUCGAAGCGAACCCCGACGUCAUGAAUCAGUUCAUUUGGGACAUCGGAAGUCCCCGAGGACCGAGUGGAGUUCAAGGAAGCGUGGAAGUGGGGAAAUUCUUGGUGGAUGUGGGACUCUACGAGAGCAAGGAGGAAGUUGUUAACAGAAAAGUAUUGGGACAAAUUGAUCAGAAUCUGCUGGGUGAUCCAAGAUGCUCUUUGCUUGUUGCAAAGGAUCCCGAAGAUAGAACUGAUAUGGUGAUCACAUCAUAUGGAGAUGCUAUUUCUACUGGCUAUCGCAAGAGCACUCUAUCACAAAUCAUCGAUAUUGAUUUUGGAUGAAGCUACUUUUUCUUUGGAUAGCAGGUCUGAACAGUUAGUGAGAUGAGCACUGGGGCACAUAGUGACUAAUCGCACAAGUGUUGAAGAGGCAGAAUGUUGUAGGGCAUAUGAUUCUGCUACUAAGGCAUACACUUCAUCUUUUGACCGCACGAAGCCAGCAGAGGAGGCUGUUCUUAGAGAAGCACACGAAGUUGCGGUUCAAAAUGCUCACUGAAGUCAUUCACUGAAACUUUUGUGGCAAAGAUGAAAUCAUAUCCUUAACAUUGAUGCAGUUACAUUUUUUCUAUUAUUUAUUUUCAAUACCUUUUCUAUUAGUUCAUAAACUUGUCUGGUACAGUCACAGGUAAAAUUGUUGUCAUGAAAAGUAUAGCAGCAUACAGAAGUGGCUUGGACAUUAAUACAAAUGUCAGUAAGAAGGCUGGCGAAGAAGGUUUGCUUGAAGAUUUACAUGGUACGUGCAAAGAAAGGCUGUACGAGAGACCUGAUUGGUGAAUACAUCGUAUGAUUAUGUAUUUAUUGCUUUUUGAAGUACAUGAUGCUUAUGUUGCAAAUUUUAUUUUCUACAGCUGGGAAGCAUAUGUAAUGCACCAAAGUUAGUUUUUGUUGUUCUGUGUACUAUGGUUAAUUUCUUGUACUCCAUGUUGGAUUAUCCAAAGACUAGUAAUUUGUUUUUUUGGCACA